rnacentral:rRNA from 1 species
GACGAACGCUGGCGGCGUGCUUAACACAUGCAAGUCGAGCGAUGAAGCUCCUUCGGGAGUGGAUUAGCGGCGGACGGGUGAGUAACACGUGGGUAACCUGCCUCAUAGAGGGGAAUAGCCUUGCGAAAGGAAGAUUAGUACCGCAUAAGAUUGUAGCUUCGCAUGAAGCAGCAAUUAAAGGAGUAAUCCGCUAUGAGAUGGACCCGCGUCGCAUUAGCUAGUUGGUGAGGUAACGGCUCACCAAGGCGACGAUGCGUAGCCGACCUGAGAGGGUGAUCGGCCACAUUGGGACUGAGACACGGCCCAGACUCCUACGGGAGGCAGCAGUGGGGAAUAUUGCACAAUGGGGGAAACCCUGAUGCAGCAACGCCGCGUGAGUGAUGACGGUCUUCGGAUUGUAAAGCUCUGUCUUCAGGGACGAUAAUGACGGUACCUGAGGAGGAAGCCACGGCUAACUACGUGCCAGCCGCCGCAGUAACAC